rnacentral:tRNA from 1 species
GCGGGUGUGGCGGAAUUGGCAGACGCGCCAGGUUUAGGUCCUGGUGGUUCAUCCCGUGGGGGUUCGAGUCCCUCCACCCGCA